CAACACCUGUGAGAAACGGCAAUCAAUAAUGCGAUGUUUUGUGCAAAGCACAAAACUCGUCAGAUAAACAGUGAGGCUGAAUUUCUGCCGAACUGUUUAUCAACU
rnacentral:sRNA from 1 species